rnacentral:lncRNA from 1 species
UAGGGAGGGGCCGGUGUCGGGAGGGACCCAGGGACUGGGAGGCCGGUCGGGGCUGGGCUCGGGGGCCGAGACCUAGCUGGGCUUGGGGCGGGGCCGAGACGGAGCGAGGGGUCCAGGGUGUGGGAAACGGGGAGGGAUUUGAGGAGGGGAUCGGAAUGUGGCUCAAGUUCGGGAGGCGUUACCUGCGGAGGGUUUGAGGCAGGCCCAGGAGCGAGCCCAUGGUCUUCCGACGCGGGGCCGGGGGCGGGCCCCAGGAUCCGGAGCUUCGGGCGGGGCCGAGUCCGGGUUUGGGGCCCGGGAGGCGGGGCCAGUUAGGGCGAGGGUCCCUGGGAUCGUCGGGUCAGGCCUUGGGCUAACGUAGGCACUCUCGCAGUUCCUCCGCCUUCGGAAGGUCUUUUUAGCAGGGGCCUUACGGGUGCAUGCUUCGGUCCUGGAGGCCUUAUCCUAGCCUCCUCUCCAUCAGCGCCACCCGUCUGGGGCCCGAAAGGAGGGGCUUUCCCUCUGUCCCCCAGCCUUUGGACUGUCACCAAACAAGCCAUUUGUUCAUCAAAUACUUUUUAAGCGCCUACCAUGUGCCUGACAAGGGAGAUGUAAUGGUGAGAAAAACUAGGUGUGGUCCAGGCCCUUCAGAGGCUCAGGGGCUCGUGGAAGAAGUGGACAUUGAAGUACUUAUCACACAAAUGAGGAUAAAAGUACGAUAGCGAUAUCUACCACGAAGCUGUUGUUCCACACCAGAACCAAAUGAGCGCAAGAUCUGACAAAGAAAAAAAAAGAUUCAUCUUUUAUUCCUCCAAACACUUUCAUUUAAAUCAAGAGGAUGGGAUGUGGUUAUUGCUGUGUUUUUAGACAGAAUCAACGGUUUCUGGGUCUGAGAUGUUGCAUACACCCUCUCAGUCCCUGUAUCCUGAGAGGGAGUCACCUGAGAAUCCACAGCAAGUCCUAACCAGGGAUGGGUCUGGGUGAUUAAGGAAGAUUGGCUUCAGAACUGGGCCAGGGGCACUGCUUUGCUUUUGCUGUUUUGAUCAGCUCUCUGCCUGCAGGAGACAAGGAAAACCAAUGGGAACAGUUAGGGUCUCUCUCUCUGCCACCCAGGCCAGAGUGCAGUUGACGCAGGGCAGGGGAGCCCCGAAGUGGAGCAUAGUGUGUUCGGAACUGUUGGGUUCUUGGUCUCACUGACUUCAAGAAAGAAGCCGCGGACCCUCGCGGUGAGUGUCACAGUUCUUAAAGGCGGCGUGUCCAGAGUUUGUUCCUUCUGAUGCUCGGAUGUGUUCAGAGUUUCUUCCUUCUGGUGGUUUUGUGGUCUCGCUGGCUUCAGGAGUGAAGCUGCAGACCUUCAAGGUGAGUGUUACAGCUCUUAAGGUGGCGCGUCUGAAGUUGUUUGUUCCUCCCAGUGGGUUCAUAGUCUCGCUGGCUUCAGGAGUGAAGCUGCAGACCUUCGAGGUGAGUGUUACAGCUCAUAAAGGCAGUGUGGACCCAAAGAGUGAGCAGCAGCAAGAUUUAUUGCAAAGAGCAAAAGAACAAAGCUUCCACAGCGUGGAAAGGGACCCCAGUGGGUUGCCACUGCUGGCUGGGGCAGCCUGCUUUUAUU